rnacentral:rRNA from 1 species
GACGAACGCUGGCGGCGUGCUUAACACAUGCAAGUCGAACGGAAAGGCCCUGCUUUUGUGGGUUGCUCGAGUGGCGGACGGGUGAGUAACACGUGAGUAACCUGCCCUUGACUGUGGGAUAACUUCAGGAAACUGGGGCUAAUAUCGGAUAUGAGCUCCUGCUCCAUGGGGUGGGUUGGAAAGUUUCGGCGGUUGGGUAUGGACUCGCGGGUUAUCAGCUUGUUGGUGGGGUAGUGGCGUACCAAGGCUAUGACGGGUAGCCGGCAUGAGAGGGUGGACGGCCACGUUGGGCCUGCGGUAGGGACCAGACUCGUACGGGAGGCAGCAGUGGGGAAUAUUGCACAAUGGGCGGAAGCCUGAUGCAGAGACGCCGGGUGCGGGAUGCCGGCCUUUGGGUUGUAAACAGAUUUCGCCUGUGACGAAGCGUGAGUGACGGUAAUGGGUAAAGAAGCACCGGCUAACUACGUG